rnacentral:rRNA from 1 species
UUGUCCUACGGGACGCAGCAGUGGGGGAUAUUGCACAAUUGUUUAAACCCUUAUUCAUCUACUCCUCUUUUUUUAAUAAGCGCCUCGGCGCGUAAAGCCCUGUCAGCAGGGAAGAAAAUGACGGUACCUGAAGAAGAAGCCCCGGCUAACUACGUGCCAGCAGCCGCGAUAAUACGUAGGGGGCAAGCGUUUCCGGAUUUACUGGGUGUAAAGGGGGCGCAGACGGCGAUGCAAGCCAGGAGUGAAAGCCCGGGGCCCAACCCCGGGACUGCUCUUGGAACUGCGUGGCUAGAGUGCAGGAGGGG